rnacentral:rRNA from 1 species
UACGUAGGGUGCAAGCGUUAUCCGGAAUUAUUGGGCGUAAAGAGCUCGUAGGCGGUGUGUCGCGUCGGCCGUGAAAACCUGCAGCUUAACUGUGGGCGUGCGGUCGAUACGGGCAUCACUGGAGUUCGGCAGGGGAGACUGGAAUUCCUGGUGUAGCGGUGAAAUGCGCAGAUAUCAGGAGGAACACCAACGGCGAAGGCAGCACUCGUGGGCCGGUACUGACGCUGAGGAGCGAAAGCGUGGGGAGCAAACAGG